rnacentral:snoRNA from 1 species
UCAAUUCUAUGAUGACCUAUAAUUUGCGUUCUAGAGUAUUCACAUCCGAAACACGCCUAGUUUCAUUAUGGAGUGAAUACGUCAUGCGACAAUUUUAUUAACUGAGAGUUGG